AUGUCUACGCUCGAGAUUCUUCAGUUUGUUAUGGUUGUAGAUUGCUAUCCAAAUGUCCCUAUAGCCUAUCGGAUCCUCUUAACAGUGCCUGUGACUGUAGCCUCAGCUGAAAGAAGUUUCUCUAAACUGAAACUACUGAAAAAUUAUUUGAGGUCAACUAUGUUGCAAGAUAGACUAAAUGGCUUGGCUAUGUGGUACAUUGAGAAGGAUAUCUUAGACAGUGUUGAUCUUGAUAUUGCCCCUUAA
rnacentral:rRNA from 1 species